rnacentral:rRNA from 1 species
UACGUAGGGGGCAAGCGUUGUCCGGAAUCAUUGGGCGUAAAGAGCGCGUAGGCGGCCCAGUAAGUCCGCUCUGAAAGUCAGGGGCUCAACCCCUGAAUGCGGGUGGAUACUGCUGGGCUAGAGUCCGGAAGAGGCGAGUGGAAUUCCGUGGUGUAGCGGUGAAAUGCGCAGAUAUCAGGAGGAACACCGAUGGCGAAGGCAGCUCGCUGGGACGGUACUGACGCUGAGGCGCGAAGCGUGGGAGCAAACAGG